UAAGAUAAGUGAAAGAUGAAAGUUGCAGUGAUUGGUUCUGGUAUUAGUGGUUUGGUCUCAGCCUAUGUUCUUGCAAAAGAAGGUGUUGAAGUGGUUCUAUAUGAGAAAAAAGACUACCUGGGUGGCCAUGCCAGGACUGUCACAUAUGAUGGUGUUGAUUUGGACCUUGGUUUCAUGGUCUUCAAUCAUGUAAUAAUGUAUCCAAAUAUGAUGGAGUUCUUUGAGAGCCUUGGAGUUGAUAUGGAGACAUGCAACAUGUCCUUCUCAGUGACUUUAGAUAAAGGACGGGGCUGUGAAUGGGGUAGUCGAAAUAGUCUCUCAAGCUUGUUUGCAGAAAAGAAGAACUUGUUCAACCCAUACUUCUGGAAAAUGCUUCGAGAAAUCACCAAGUUUAAACAUGAUUUGAUCAGUUAUCUUGAGGUGCUUGAGGGUAACCCAGACAUUGACCGGAAUGAAACCUUGGGGCAGUUUAUUGAAUCACUACUCUGAACUAUUUCUGAAGGCUUACCUUAUUCCAAUAUGUAGUUCAAUCUUGUGGUGUCCUUCAGAAGGGGUUAUGAGCUUCUCAGCUUUCUCUGUGCUUUCAGUUUGUCGCAAUCAUCAUCUACUUCAGCUAUUUGGCGGCCCACAGUGGCUGACCGUCAAACAGGGUUCACAUUGUUAUGUGAAGAAGGUGAAAGAAGUGUUGGAGAGUAAAGGGUGUCAGAUAAGAACUGGCUCUGAGGUGCAUAAAUUAAAGUUUCCACAACUGGUGAGGGUGAGUGGUUAGAUGGA